GCUGUAGCUCAGUGGUAGCUCAUCUGCUUCACAUGCAGAAGGUCCCAGGUUCAAUCCCUGGCAUCUCCA